UCAAGCAGUGACAGAAGGGACACACUGUGACAAGGACUUUGAUGUUCAAAAUGCCCUGGAAGUGGAUUUCUGCCCUGCUCCUGCUACAGAUAAGUUGCUGUUUCAAAUCUGGAAACUGUGGGAAGGUGUUGAUGUGGCCGAUGGACUUUAGUCAUUGGAUGAAUAUAAAAAUAAUACUCGAUGAACUUGUACAGAGGGGCCAUGAAGUCACUGUCCUGAAAUCUUCAGCUUUCUUUUUUCUUGAUCCGAAAAAAUCGUCUGACCUUAAGUUUGAACUUUUUCCUACAUCUGUCAGUAAAGAUGAGCUGCAAAAUCAUUUCAUAAAACUUUUGGAUGUGUGGACUUAUGAGUUGCCAAGAGAUACAUAUUUGUCAUAUUCUCCUAUCCUUCAAAAUAUGGUUUAUGAAUUUUCUUCUUUUUAUCUAAGACUUUGUAAAGACGCUGUUUCAAACAAGCAGCUCAUGGCAAAACUACAGGAUCCAAGUUUGACCUUCUUUUGUCAGACCCUGUGGCUGCCUGUGGGGAUCUGAUAGCCGAACUGCUCCACAUUCCUUUUCUGUACAGUCUUCGCUUCUCUCCAGGCCACAAACUUGAAAAGUCCAUUGGAAAAUGUAUACUCCCUCCUUCUUAUGUGCCUGUAAUUUUGUCAGGACUGGCUGGCAAAAUGACAUUCAUAGACAGGGUAAAAAAUAUGAUAUGUAUGCUUUAUUUCGACUUUUGGUUCGAGAGACUUAGACACAAGGAAUGGGACAUGUUUUACAGUGAGAUUUUGGGAAGGCCCACCACUGUAGAGGAGACAAUGGGCAAAGCAGAAAUGUGGCUCAUUAGAUCCUACUGGGAUUUGGAAUUUCCCCACCCAACAUUACCAAAUGUUGACUAUGUUGGAGGAUUCCACUGUAAACCAGCUAAAUCCUUGCCCAAGGAUAUGGAAGAAUUUGUCCAGAGCUCUGGAGAGCACGGUGUGGUGGUGUUUUCUCUGGGGUCAAUGGUCAGCAACAUGACAGAAGAAAAGGCCAACGCAAUUGCAUGGGCCCUUGCCCAGAUUCCACAAAAGGUUCUUUGGAAAUUUGAUGGCAAAACCCCAGCAACGUUAGGACCCAAUACCAGAGUCUACACGUGGCUCCCCCAGAAUGACCUCCUGGGUCACCCGAAAACCAAAGCCUUUGUAACACAUGGUGGAGCCAAUGGCCUCUAUGAGGCGAUCUAUCAUGGAAUCCCAAUGAUUGGCAUUCCUAUAUUUGGAGAACAAUAUGAUAACAUUGCCCACAUGGUGGCCAAAGGAGCAGCUGUUUCAUUGAAUAUCAGGACAAUGUCAAAAUCAGAUUUGCUCAGUGCACUGGAGGAAGUCAUAGACAAUCCGUUCUAUAAAAAAAAUGCUAUGUUGUUGUCAACCAUUCACCAUGACCAGCCUAUGAAGCCCCUGGACAGAGUUGUCUUCUGGAUUGAGUUUAUCAUGUGCCACAAAGGGGCCAAGCACCUGAGACCACUUGGACAUGACCUUUCCUGGUACCAGUACCACUCUCUGGAUGUGAUUGGGUUCCUGCUUGCCUGUUUGGCAGUCAUUGCAGCCCUUAUUGUAAAAUGCUUCUUGCUUGUUUACCAAAUCUUUGUGAAGAAGGAAAAGACAAUGAAGAAUGAGUAGAGCCUCAUUCAGUCUCAUUCUAAUUUAUGAACCACAUUAUAAACUUACUGAUUUUUUAAUCAAGGCAGAUCACAUUUGUAAGAAGACAUAUAACUCCGUGAAUUCUGAUAUGUAAUCAAAAAUCCAUCAUUUUUAAAUUUUAAAACCACUUAAUGUAAAAAGUUACAUUGUAGAAAAAUGUGCAGAAUAAAAGUAUUCUUGAUAGAGUCCUAAUAAUCAAAUUAUUAAUCUUAAAAUAUUUGAAUAGUGUCCAUUUACCUCUUUGUCUGAGACUGAAUCUAUAGCUUUCAUACAAUAAAAUGUAGCUAACUUGUACACGAUAAAUACUGACAUAUAAAAAUGUUCCUUUUUCUGUAAUAGUCUUAAUUAUUUGUUGUCUGGAAUAAAGUGUUGUUAGUUUGGAUAUCAGUUUUAAAGGAAUCUGUUGGCUAUUCUGUUCCUCUAAAAUAAUGUGCUAAUAUAAAUCAUCUCAAGGGAAAAGCAGAACAGUUUAUUUGGAAUUGUGGAUACAGUUCCUUAGAAUGUAGAGUAGCAGGGAAGGCAGUGUAGCAAUCAGCCAGAGGAGGAAGCUCACUUGUCAUAGCUCAACCACAUAUGGAAAGCAGAGUGAGAAAGAAGUGGGGCUAAGCUAUGAACUUUCAAGGCUUACUCCAGUGAUGUACUUCAUCCAAAAAAUUUAACCAAUUCAAUUAAGAUUUCAUAACCUCAAUCAGCACUACAAAUUUUGGGAAAUGUGCUCAAAUUCAUCAUCAUAGUUGAAACAUUUUACAUUCAAACCAAUAACAGGAAAUAACUCUGUCUUUAACAUUUUUAGCAUACAUUAUGUUGUUACCAUUCUAGUCCACCAAGUGUAACACACCACCAUAGAACACCUGUACUUCUUCAGUAUAAUUUAGUUAUGAUCAUGAGGAAUAAUGUUCAUUGGAAAUGAAACUUAUGAACAGGGAACAAAUGGAAACCCUAAAUAAAGUAAAUUUAGUUUUGAGAUUGGUUCUUUAUGAUGCUGGUUGGUAUACAUAUAUAUCAUAUACAAAGAACACAAGAAUUUAGACUCCAGAAAACCAAAUAACCAUAUUAAAAAUGGGGAACAAAACAAAACAAUGAAUUCUUACACAGAAUGGCUGGGAACCAUCUAAAGAAAUGUUCAGCAUCCAUCUUAGUCAUUAGGGAAAUGCAAUUCAAAAUGAUCCUGAGAUUCCACUUCACAAGAGUCAGAAUGGCUAAGAUUAAAAACUCAUGUGACAGUAAAUGUUGCUGAGGAUGUCGAGAAAGAGGAAUACUCCUCCACUAUUGGUGAGUUUGAAAGCUGGUACGACCUCUGUGGAAAUCAGAGGGUGUUCCUCAGAAAAUUGAACAUAGUAGUAUCUGAGGACCCAGUUAUACCUCUUCUGGGCAUACACCCAAAUGAUGCCCCAACAUAUAACCAGAGCACAAACUCCACUAUGUUCAUAGCACCAUUAUUUAUAAUACCCUGAUGCUCGAAAGAACUCAGAUGCCCUUCAAGAGAGGAAAGGAUAGAGAAAAUGUGGAACAUCUACACAAUGGAGUACUACUGAGCUAUUAAAAUCAAUGACUCCAUGAAAUUCAUAGGUAAAUUGAUUGACCUAGAAAAUAUCAUCCUGAGUGAGGUAACCUAAUCUCAGAAAAAAACAUGGUAUGUACUCACUGAUAAGUGGAUAUUAGCCCAAAAGCUCGAAUUUCCCAACAUACAAUCUACAAACCACCUGAAGCUUAAGAAGAUGGAUGACCAAAAUGUGGAUGCUUCACUCCUUCUCAAAAGGGGGAGCAAAUAUAUCCAUAGGAGGGGAUAUGGAGGCAAAGUUUAGAGUAGAGACUGAAGGAAUGGCCAUUCAGAACCUGAGUCACAUGUGGCCCACAGAUAUACAGCCACAAAAACUAGAUAAGAUUGAUGAAGCUAAGAAGUGCAAGCUGACAGGAGCCGCAUAUAGCUGUGUCCUGAGAGGCGCAGCCAGAGAAUGUCAAAUACAGAGGUGAAUGCUUGAAGCAAAACAUUGAGCUGUGAAAGGAUUCCCCGUUGGAGGAAUUAGAGAAAGAAAUGAAACAGCUGAAGGGGCUUGUAACAUGAUUGAACUUAGUUCCCCCCAAAAAAGACAGAGCCUAGCAGAAUGGAUGUUGCAUUAAAGAAAAACACCUUAACAAUAAACACAGACAUAUCUUCAAAAAAUGGGCUGGAAAGAAAAGGUUUAAAAACAAAGAGGCCAAGAAGCAAACUUUAAUUAUCAUUCUAAUAUCUACUAAAAUAGACUUAAAAUCAAAAUUAAUCCAAAGAGACAGAGGACACUUCAUAUUCAUCAAAGAAAAAAUCUACCAAGAUGAUAAUUCAAUUUUGAACAUCUACAACCAAAACACAGGAAUACCCACAUUUGAAAAUACAUGUUGCUCAAGCUUAAAUCACACCUUGAGCCACACACAUUAGUAGGUGGGAUUUUAAUAUCCCAUUAUCAUUAAUUAACAGGACAUUCUGAUAAAAACAAAAAGAGAGAAAAACACUAACAGACAUUAUGAAGCAAAUGGACCUAACAGACAUUUAUAGAAUAUUUCAUCCAAACACACAAGAAUGUAUUUUCAUCUCAGCACCUCAUCAAUCCUGCUCCAAAACUUAACAUCUAGUCAGUCACAAAGGAAGCCUCAACAGAUACAUAAAAAUCGAAACAACACCUUGUAUCUUAUCAGGUCAUGGUAAAGCAGGGCUUCAACAACAACAGAAACAACAAAAGUCUACAUGCUCUUGAAAAUUGAACAACUGUCUUCUCAGUGGUCUUUGGGUCAGGAAGAAAUAAAGAAAACACGGAUUAUCUAGAAUUCUAUGAAUUUGAUGGCACACUAAACAUAAAUUCAUGGGACAUGAUGGAAGCAGUGCUGAGUGGAAAGUUCAUAAUAUUAAUCCCACCAUAAAGAAAUUGUAAUUUCUCAUACCAGCAAUUUAAAUGAAUGUGAGAAAGCUCUAGAGAAGAAGAUAGAAGAAGGAGGAGGGGAGAGGGGAAAGGAAAAGAGGGAGAAAGAGAGGGAGAGGGAGGAAAAGGAGAAUGAGAAGGAGGAGAAGGAGAAGAAAGAGAAGAAGAAAAAACCAUGGCAAAGAGAAGUAGAAGGCUGGAAAUAAUCAAAUUCCUGGCUGCUAAGAAGAGAAGUGGGGAAGGAAAGGAAGAAAGGAUUACAAAGAAUUUGAAAAUGCUUGGACCAGAAAUAGGCAGGAA